rnacentral:rRNA from 1 species
GAUGAACGCUGGCGGCGUGCCUAAUACAUGCAAGUCGAGCGAACGGACGAGAAGCUUGCUUCUCUGAUGUUAGCGGCGGACGGGUGAGUAACACGUGGAUAACCUACCUAUAAGACUGGGAUAACUUCGGGAAACCGGAGCUAAUACCGGAUAAUAUUUUGAACCGCAUGGUUCAAAAGUGAAAGACGGUCUUGCUGUCACUUAUAGAUGGAUCCGCGCUGCAUUAGCUAGUUGGUAAGGUAACGGCUUACCAAGGCAACGAUGCAUAGCCGACCUGAGAGGGUGAUCGGCCACACUGGAACUGAGACACGGUCCAGACUCCUACGGGAGGCAGCAGUAGGGAAUCUUACGCAAUGGGCGAAAGCCUGACGGAGCAACGCCGCGUGAGUGAUGAAGGUCUUCGGAUCAUAAAACUCUGUUAUUAGGGAAGAACAUAUGUGUAAGUAACUGUGCACAUCUUGACGGUACCUAAUCAGAAAGCCACGGCUAACUACGUG